AGGUACCACUCGUCCACUCCGGUUGUUGCGCGCCGUCCGCACCCACCUGACGGCUGCGCGCUACGGUUUGUUAGCC
rnacentral:sRNA from 1 species